GCCUGGAUGGCUCAGUGGUUGAGCGUCUGCCUUCAGCCCAGGACGUGAUCCUGGGGUCCUGGGAUCGAGUCCCGGAUGGGGCU
rnacentral:tRNA from 1 species